rnacentral:rRNA from 1 species
GUGGGGAAUAUUGGACAAUGGGCGCAAGCCUGAUCCAGCCAUGCCGCGUGAGUGAUGAAGGCCUUAGGGUUGUAAAGCUCUUUCAGUAGGGAAGAUAAUGACGGUACCUACAGAAGAAGCCCCGGCUAACUUCGUGCCAGCAGCCGCGGUAAUACGAAGGGGGCUAGCGUUGUUCGGAUUUACUGGGCGUAAAGCGCACGUAGGCGGAUUGGUCAGUUAGAGGUGAAAUCCCGAAGCUCAACUUCGGAACUGCCUUUAAUACUGCCAGUCUCGAGUCCGGAAGAGGUGAGUGGAACUCCUAGUGUAGAGGUGGAAUUCGUAGAUAUUCGGAGGAACACCAGUGGCGAAGGCGGCUUACUGGUCCAUUACUGACGCUGAGGUGCGAAAGCGUGGGGAGCAAACAGGAUUAGAAACCCGGGUAGUCC